rnacentral:rRNA from 1 species
AUUGAACGCUGGCGGAAUGCUUUACACAUGCAAGUCGAACGAUGAACCCUAGCUUGCUAGGGGGAUUAGUGGCGAACGGGUGAGUAAUAUAUCGGAACGUGCCUUGUAAUGGGGGAUAACUAGUCGAAAGAUUAGCUAAUACCGCAUACGCCCUGAGGGGGAAAGUAGGGGAUCUUCGGACCUUACGUUAUAAAAGCGGCCGAUAUCUGAUUAGCUAGUUGGUGGGGUAAUGGCCUACCAAGGCGACGAUCAGUAGCUGGUCUGAGAGGACGACCAGCCACACUGGAACUGAGACACGGUCCAGACUCCUACGGGAGGCAGCAGUGGGGAAUUUUGGACAAUGGGCGAAAGCCUGAUCCAGCCAUUCCGCGUGAGUGAAGAAGGCCUUCGGGUUGUAAAGCUCUUUCGCAAGGGAAGAAAACUUACAUUCUAACAAAGUGUGAGGCUGACGGUACCUUGAUAAGAAGCACCGGCUAACUACGUGCCAGCAGCCGCCGUAAUAC